rnacentral:rRNA from 2 species
UCCUUUUGUAGAUAAUCUAAGGUCUAGCCUGCCCACUGAAGUUUUAAAUGGCCGUGGUAUUUUGACCGUGCUAAGGUAGCAUAAUCAUUAGUUUUUUAAUUAAAAACUGGAAUGAAAGGUUGGAUGAGAAAAUAGCUGUCUCUAUUAAAUUUAAUUAGAAUUUUAUUUUUAAGUUAAAAAGCUUAGUUAUUGUUAAAAGACGAGAAGACCCUAUAGAGUUUAAUUAUUUAGUAAAAAUUAUAUUUUAGUAUUAAUUUAUUUAUUUUAUUAAAUAAUUUAAUUGGGGUGAUUGAAAAAUUUAAUUAACUUUUUUUAUUUAAUAACAUUAAUUUAUGAAUAAAUGAUCCAAUAUUUUUGAUUAUAAGAUAAAAUUACCUUAGGGAUAACAGCGUAAUUUUUUUAGAAAGUUCAUAUUAAAAAAAAAGAUUGCGACCUCGAUGUUGGAUUAAAAUAAAUUUUUGGUGUAGAAGCUAAAAUAUUAGGUCUGUUCGACCUUUAAAAUUUUACAUGAU